rnacentral:rRNA from 1 species
UUAGAUACCCUAUUAUUUUUAAUGUAAUGUAUUACCAAAUGAUUAAUAGUUAUGUUCUUUAAAGUUAAAAAAUUUGGCGGUAUUUUAGUCUUUUCAGAGGAACCUGUUCUGUAAUUGAUAGUCCACAUUUUAUAUUACUUUAAUUAGAAAUUUAUAUAUCGUUGUAAUAGAAAAUUUUAUAAGAAAUUAAUUUUCAAAAAUUUUUUAAAUUUUUAAGUCAGGGCGAGGGGUAGUUUAUAUUAAAGAAGAAAUGGGUUACAAUAAUUUUAGUUUUGGAUUUAAAUUUUAAAAAUUUUUUGAAAUUGGAUUUGAACGU